CAGAAAGGAUGUUUUUUUUAUUUUAUAAAUCGAAUGGGCUUGAACCCAAAGACAAAGGGUGCGACUUAACAGAAAGGAGGGGUGCCAGAGAAGAAUAGUUUUUGUUUCUAUGUUUUUGUUGGUUUUGCCCAGGCCCAAUGCUCUCCACAUUCAGAAACUCAGAAAAUCAGGGGUUCUUCCCCUCCAAUUCAUUUCAAACGCUCAACAUUCUUUCUCUCUCUGAAGGGUUUGCCUCUCUGGAGCCCACGCACACCACCGCCUCUGUCAGCCACCGUAACGGCCCUCUGGCUCCGUCCAAACCGUCACCGGCAUAGCGGACGCCACUGGAACCAUGGCCGGCCACGACGUCACCGUCCCUUUUCCUCUCUUGCUUCGUCCUAGGAUUGGGGGUUCCACCCUUGAGCACUGCCGGCCACCAUUGCUUCGAACCCAUCCACCGCGCCACCAGCAUCACGGUCUCGUCAUCGUCAUUCCUCUCUUCUACGAGACCCAACCCUUGGUUGGGUUUACAUCCUUACAGUAUUGUCGUCAUCUCCUUUCUAAACUAUCACAACCUUAAGGUAAAUCCCUCUCCUCUCACGCAGACCUUGCUUCCGCUCUCUCAACCGCGACUCAAAGGCCACCACCCCCGAUUGAUUCUCCUAUUCCCUUAUUUUCUGUUUUGAUUGGGUUGGUUUCCUAAUGGGUGCAUUGAUGAUUUCAUGAUCGAGACUAUUAAAGAUAAGGGUUAAAAUGGUCUGAAGUUGACGAGGGUGACGAAACUAUUAUGUUUUUGUUCUUGUAGGGAAGUGACCUUGGACCUUUGGUAAUACGAUAUGAAUUUGGAUCUCGGUGAGGGGUGAUACCGGUGGGAUGAUAAGGAUGUUAUGGAGUUGACCCGAUCAAACAAAGAGAACACUAUGUAGAUGAUGACAGAUUAACUGGAAUAGAAAUUACCUUGAAAAACUGAUUUUCUGAUUGGUGUAGUUUUCUCCCUAUGUUUGUGAUUUUGUGCCAUGCAGGUUAAGGAUAAUGGUGUUAAUGGGGUUCUAUGUGAUGGGUUGCAGAGAUGAACUCGGCUGGAGGGUCUGUGCGUGAGGGAGAAUGGUGGUGGUGAUGCUGGGUAAGGGUGAAAAUCAUUAACAAAAGGCAAAGACGCAGACAGAGGUUUCCGGUCAAAGAGGGAGUAUGAUAUGCAUAGGCGGAUAAUGAAGAAAGGGGAAUACUCACACCAUGAUACAAUCUCAAACCGUGCAACAUCAAGUAUAAUAUAAAGCACAAUGCAGCAAGCUUACAUGAUGAUACAAACGAACAGAGUAAGCUUACCUCUUAAAGCUAUGCUUGCUACUGUUAGCCUAGUACCUCCAGCGACCUCCUCCCUUCUUUUGGCUGGCUUCGUUUUCCUCUGCAGUUGAAGAUGUUCUCUCCUAAGCUGUGAUGAUGAAUGGCAGCUGCCGCCACAGAUAACGGAUGAUGGUCGAAGAUGACGACAAAUAGAGGUUGCUUAUUUUGCCGAGGUCGUGAGAUGUUAGACGCAACCAGCGGAAACAAGAAGGUCAAGUUGAAGUUGGGUGGGAGAAAAAAAUGGUUUCCUGGUGGUGAUGUGCCUGAUGGAUCAAGAAAUGCCUUUCUGUUUUGUGAAUCUUGAAUCCAUGGUAGCUUGAGAGUAGUGCAUGUGUGAGGGAGGAUGGUUUCUGUUGAGUGAAUGGAGUUGAGAGUCGUGUGAGGUGAAUGAUAGAUGCGGUUCGAAGUCCUCCUCUUUCUCCCCUGCAUAUCUGUGCUAAUAAGAUACUUGAAAACUUUGUUUCUGCUAUGAAAUUUCUUUUCAAAGUCAAUGACAUGUUUGUCAAA